rnacentral:rRNA from 1 species
AACUAAAGGAAUUGACGGGGGCCCGCACAAGCGGUGGAGCAUGUGGUUUAAUUCGAUGAUACGCGAGGAACCUUACCUGGGCUCAAAUGUAUGUUGACGUAUUCUGAAAGGGAUACUUCUUCGGACAAUAUACAAGGUGCUGCAUGGUUGUCGUCAGCUCGUGCCGUGAGGUGUCGGGUUAAGUCCCAUAACGAGCGCAACCCCUACCUUUAGUUGCCAUCAGGUAAUGCUGGGGACUCUAAAGGAACUGCCUACGCAAGUAGUGAGGAAGGCGGGGAUGACGUCAAAUCAGCACGGCCCUUACGUCCAGGGCUACACACGUGCUACAAUGGCCGAUACAGAGGGCAGCUACCUGGUGACAGGAUGCAAAUCUCCAAAGUCGGUCUCAGUUCGGAUCGGAGUCUGCAACCCGACUCCGUGAAGUUGGAUUCGCUAGUAAUCGCGCAUCAGCCAUGGCGCGGUGAAUACGUUCCCGGGCCUU